CGCGUUAUAAUCCCGUCAAGCGCGCACAUGCGAGAGCUUGCUCGCGGCAUGUAGCGCAUUUGACGGGAUGACGCGACAUGAACACGAAGGCCGAUAGGUCGGAGUGUGAAUGCCGCGCAGAAAUGCGGGAGCACGAAGUGCGAAGCAAUUCUGUGUUAACGCG
rnacentral:sRNA from 17 species